rnacentral:rRNA from 1 species
UACGUAGGUGACAAGCGUUGUCCGGAUUUACUGGGCGUAAAGAGCGCGCAGGCGGUCGAUCAAGUCGAGUGUGAAAGCCCCCGGCUCAACUGGGGAGGGUCAUUCGAUACUGAUCGACUCGAAGGCAGGAGAGGGUAGUGGAAUUCCCGGUGUAGUGGUGAAAUGCGUAGAUAUCAGGAGGAACACCCGUAGCGAAGGCGGCACUCUGGGCCGAUACUGACACUGAGGAGCGAAAGCGUGGGGAGCGAACAGG